UGAAUACGAGACGCUAAGGCGUCGAAGUAGUGUAUGUCAUACUUCCAAGAAAAGCUUGCACUGUCAUAGAUAAAAAACGCCUGUACCAUAACCGACACAGGUGGGUAGGUAGAGUAUACUAAGGGGCGCGGGAUAACUCUCUCUAAGGAACUCGGCAAAAUAACUCCGUAACUUCGGGAGAAGGAGUGCCUUAUUCGUAAGGUUGCAAUAACAAGAUCCAAGCAACUGUUUAUCAAAAACACAGGUCUCCGCUAAGUCGUAAGACGAUGUAUGGGGGCUGACGCCUGCCCAGUGCCAGAAGGUUAAAGAAGUUGGUUAGCAAUUGCGAAGCUGAUAACUGAAGCCCUGGUGAACGGCGGCCGUAACAAUAACGGUCCUAAGGUAGCGAAAUUCCUUGUCGGGUAAGUUCCGACCCGCACGAAAGGCGUAAUGAUUUGGAUACUGUCUCGGAGAGGGGCUCGGUGAAAUAGACUUGUCUGUGAAGAUGCGGACUACCUGCACCAGGACAGAAAGACCCUAUGAAGCUUUACUGUAACUUGAAAUUGAAAUUGGACUUUAUUCGCGCAGUAUAGGUGGGAGGCGCUGAUUAUAAUCUUGUGGGAUUAUUGGAGCCAUCAGUGAGAUACCACUCUUGUAAUGUUAGAUUUCUAACUUUGAAUCAUUAUCUGGUCAAAGAACAGUUUCAGGCGGGCAGUUUGACUGGGGCGGUCGCCUCCUAAACGGUAACGGAGGCGUACAAAGGUUUCCUCUGAACGAUUAGAAAUCGUAUCUAGAGUGUAAAGGCAUAAGGAAGCUUGACUGUGAGACCUACAAGUCGAGCAGGGACGAAAGUCGGUCUUAGUGAUCUGACGGUACUGAGUGGAAAGGCCGUCACUCAACGGAUAAAAGUUACUCUAAGGAUAACAGGCUGAUCUCCCCCAAGAGUUCACAUCGACGGGGAGGUUUGGCACCUCGAUGUCGGCUCAUCGCAUCCUGGGGCGGUAGUACGUCCCAAGGGUUGGGCUGUUCGCCCAUGAAAGCGGUACGCGAGCUGGGUUCAGAACGUCGUGAGACAGUUCGGUCCAUAUCCGGUGUAGGCGUUAGAAUAUUGAGAGGAGCCUUCUUUAGUACGAGAGGACCGAGAAGGACAUACCUCUGGUGUACCAGUUAUCGUGCCAACGGUAAACGCUGGGUAGCUAUGUAUGGAGUGGAUAACCGCUGAAAGCAUCUAAGUGGGAAGCCCACCUCAAGAUAAGUAUUC
rnacentral:rRNA from 1 species